UCGAAGUGACGUCACCAAGCUCUGUGGACCCCACCAUGAUGCAUGUGUUGUAUCCAUACCGUACAACCAUCUGUAGACGUGGUUUUAUGGCAUUACAAAGAGAAUGAGAUAGAUCUAAAUUUCAAGUGGACCCACCACAGAAAACCGUGGGAGCCGUCACACCCACCGCUGAAACAUUUAUAGGGCCCACAGUGAUGUAUUUUUGAGAUCCAUACUAUUCAUAAGUUAACAUAGAGAUAGAUGAAGUGAAAACAAAAAUAUCAGCUUCUUCGGAAACUACUAUGGCCCCUAAUAAGUGUUUAACGGUGGACCGUACAAUCACAACUAUUUCCUUUUGCAUUGUCCACCUGACACUAUAUUUGUUUCAUUUUUUUUUCAAGUACUCUAUAAUUAAAUUCAAAAACAGAUGAACGACGUGGAUAUAGAAUAAAUACAUCAAAUUCCCAAAAAUCAGGAUGAUCAGUUAAAUAAAUGGGCUACACCAGAGGGAACAAGUUGGGAGAUAACAUCCACCCUUUAUUUACAUGGACCCAUCAUGUUGUAUGUAUAAAUCACAAUAGGCCCCAUAAAGUUUACUUAGUAUGUAAUCUGCAAACUCUUUCCUCAAUUGUAAUUUAUAUGAAAUUUUGAUUUGAUCUAACAUCUUAGCCCUCGAAAUGAUUUGGGCUUAUUACACUGAAUACGAGCCGAUGCACUUUUUUUUUUUGUCGAUUAUUGCAAAUUUGUAUACUACUAGGGAGCAAAAUGUCGUCUGGAUCGGGAAAAGGAGGAGCAAGGGACAUUGGGUGGAAACAUGGACGGCUAGUGGAGGGGAAUAAAUAUGGGGCCAUAUGCAACUAUUGUGGCCAAGUGAUACGGAGUGGGGGAGUGUCUAGGCUAAAGGAACAUUUGGCAGGAGGAUACAAGAAUGUGAAAGACUGUCCAAGUAUAACAAGGCCAGUGAGAGAGGAGAUGAGAAGAGUGUUGACUGAAGCGAAGUCACGCAAGCUGCAGCAAAAGGAUUGGGAGAGGGAUAUGAGGGAGGAGCUACGAGGCACUGGACGGGGCCUAGGUGCUAUCGACGAGCACGAUGAUGACGACGAUGAGGGGAUCGUGUACCCCGAUGAUUGUGUUAUAGCUCGAGAAAGGAGUGAUUUUACACAAGUAAUUCGUGAGUCUCGAGCUUCAGAGUGGGAGGGGGAGCAAAGAAGACGGAUUGAUGAGAGUAGACCGUCGUUUGGGACGUCCCGACAUGAGGCUGGUGGGAGCAGUAGACGAUUUGAGGGAGGCAGCAGGCAUGGCCUACAACGCACGCAAAGCGCUCGUAUCCCAGAUGCACCCAUCGCAGGUGUUAAUAAAAAAAGAUUAAAAAAUAUGUGGAGCAAGGGGCUCAGGGAGAAAGUGGGUGGCGCUAUAUCUAGGUGGUUCAUCUCGAGCCAUGUACCAGCAAAUGCAGCAGCCAGUUUUCACUUCAAAAAUAUGAUUGAGGAGGUGUAGCGUGCCGGGCCUGGCGUGAAGUCUCCCACGUCAUAGGAGAUUCUUAGCGUCUACCUCGAUCGGGAGCACGAGGAGAUGCAGGCUUGGGUACGUGGACUCAAGCCGAACUGGAAAUAGUAUGGGGUAACAAUCAUGUGUGAUGGGUGGACAUGACCCACGAAAUUGUUCAUUAUCAAUUUCAUGGUGUACUGUAGAGGACAACCGGUUUUCCUCAAAUCCAUUGAUGCAUCGGCCUGAAUAAAAGAUCACGAAUACAUAUAUGCUCUCCUGAAAGGAGUGAUUAAAGAAGUUGGGUCCCAGAAUGUUGUCCAAGUUGUGAUGGACAAUGGCAGUGCAUUCGUUAAGGUAGGGAAGAAAUUGAUGCAGAAGUUCAAUCUCUAUUGGACCCCGUGUGCGGCACACUGCAUUGAUUUAACGCUCGAGGAGAUAGGCUAGAGGGAUUCUGUCAGGAAAACCAUCCAGGAUGCGAGGAAAGUGACAAACUUUAUAUACAAUCACUCAUGGUUGUUGGCUGCAAUGCGUGAGUGUUGUGGAGGGGACAUCGUUAGACCAGGCGCGACACGAUUCGCCACAAACUUCAUUGCACUUGACAGCUUAUACAGGCACCGCGUGGGUCUCAGAAAUUUGUUCAGAUCCGAGAGAUACAUGGAGUGGAAUCAGAGGAAGACUGAGGGUGCAAGGACUUGUUCGAAUAUAGUGCUUUCCGAUUCCUUCUGGGAUAAAGUUCAAAACGUUGUUUCCUUCCUGCAUCCGAUGUAUAAGGUCUUACGAGCCGUAGAUAAUGAGACGUGGCCUUCGAUGGGGUUAAUGUAUGAGCUUAUGAGAAUUAUGAGACAGGGGAUAAUGACUGCAAUCCCCACUUCGUAUCAGUGGGUGAUCGAUAUCAUCGAUGGACUGGGACUCUCGAGCAUCCACUCCACCAAGCUGGUAAGUUUGUUAAUGCAAUUGAGUACUUUAAGCAUCACUUCUGUUUGCUUGUUAAUACAACUGAGUAACUAAUAUUCGGGUUUCAACAUACUACCUGAAUCCCAAAUUUCAUUAUAAACAUCGGCUCCAUGAGAAUCAAGAUUUGAUGAUGGCCGUCCACGAGGUGUUCGAACGAUUGUUCCCAGAAUCAACAGCGCAAGCAGAUUUCCGUGACUAGUUGUUGUGGUUUAGGGAUGCGAGGGGUACGUUCUCAUCCGCACUAGCAAAAGCAUCGACUGAAACGAUGAUGCCGUGUGAGUGGUGGGCGAUGUACGGAGUCGACACGCCAGCACUGCAGUUAUUGGCAGUCCGUGUUCUCGCACAGACUGUAUCCUCCUCACCGUGUGAGAGGAAUUGGAGCACAUGGUCACUCAUAUACAUCAACAAGAGGAACAAACUAGCAUAUGAGAAGCUGCAAAAGCUCGUUUACUGCCAUUACAAUAUGAAGUUAAGAGAGGCAGUUGCGGGUAGACCGAGACAUGGAGGAAAAUCAAGACUCGUUAGACUUGUUGUUUAUAGGUAACAUGGCACAGAUAGGUGAUGAUGAUGAGGACCCACUUUAUGAGUUGAUCAAAUCAGCUGAUUUAGAUGAUGCGGAGGGAGGCCCUGCCCCACAGGUAGCCGAGGGAGCAGUGGCUCUAGGUAUCGAUGUCGAUCAGGUAGUAGAGGAACAGAAGGUGGAUACAGACUCCUUUGAUCCUUUGGUGAGGAGUUCGGCACGUUCUAAUCAGGGUGAGGAAGCAUCUUCACGGCCCCCUCCUCGUCAUCAAGUCGUAGUGAGUGAUGAUGAUGAUGAGACUCAACCCCCACUUGACACUGGUCCUGUGACGACGACGACGAUGACGAAGGUGAUGAGGGAGGGGACGGAGGCACCGACACUAGUAUAGGUGGUACUGGUGGGGGUGGGGGUGGGGGUGGCAAUGGUGGGGGGUACAUGACGGCUCAGAGCCAACGAUCCGUUAGUGAGUUCACUGAGGAGCAGAGCUUUGACCAUGCCACUCACAACGAGGAUCAUGGAUCUCGUCCACCAUCCAGGGCGAGAGCAUCAGAGCCCAGAUAUAUGUUCGAGCGUCGUUCGAAGAAGAAAGUCGGA